rnacentral:rRNA from 1 species
GAUGAACGCUGGCGGCGUGCCUAAUACAUGCAAGUCGAGCGAACAGAUGAGGAGCUUGCUCCUCUGACGUUAGCGGCGGACGGGUGAGUAACACGUAGAUAACCUACCUAUAAGACUGGGAUAACUUCGGGAAACCGGAGCUAAUACCGGAUAAUAUAUUGAACCGCAUGGUUCAAUAGUGAAAGACGGUUUUGCUGUCACUUAUAGAUGGAUCCGCGCCGCAUUAGCUAGUUGGUAAGGUAACGGCUUACCAAGGCGACGAUGCGUAGCCGACCUGAGAGGGUGAUCGGCCACACUGGAACUGAGACACGGUCCAGACUCCUACGGGAGGCAGCAGUAGGGAAUCUUCCGCAAUGGGCGAAAGCCUGACGGAGCAACGCCGCGUGAGUGAUGAAGGUCUUCGGAUCGUAAAACUCUGUUAUUAGGGAAGAACAAAUGUGUAAGUAACUAUGCACGUCUUGACGGUACCUAAUCAGAAAGCCACGGCUAACUACGUG